rnacentral:rRNA from 1 species
AUGACCCAAAUAUAUGAAACCAGGAAAAAAUGGGCAAAACCAUACUUUAAAGGUGUGUUUUGUGUGAAAAUGACAAGCACUCAACAUAGUGAGAGCGCAAACCACAUGCUGAAGACGUACAUGCCCCCUGCAAGCCCAAUGCUUGUUUUUGGGGAGUACAUGAGGUUAAAGUUUGACUGUGAGCGUGAUGAGAGCUACAAGGAGAAGAGGACCAUGAUUGAAUAUUCCAAGUUGGCUGAUGCACAGAUAUGGCAUGGUGGUGCCCUGAGGCGGACUAACCUUACAAUAGAGCGGCAAGAGAUAAGUGGAGCAGGGUUGAGUACGAGGUGA